rnacentral:rRNA from 1 species
GACGAACGCUGGCGGCGUGCUUAACACAUGCAAGUCGAACGGAAAGGCCCUGCUUUUGUGGGGUGCUCGAGUGGCGAACGGGUGAGUAACACGUGAGUAGCCUGCCCUUGACUUUGGGAUAACUUCAGGAAACUGGGGCUAAUACCGGAUAGGAGCUCCUGCUGCAUGGUGGGGGUUGGAAAGUUUCGGCGGUUGGGGAUGGACUCGCGGCUUAUCAGCUUGUUGGUGGGGUAGUGGCUUACCAAGGCUUUGACGGGUAGCCGGCCUGAGAGGGUGACCGGCCACAUUGGGACUGAGAUACGGCCCAGACUCCUACGGGAGGCGGCAGUGGGGAAUAUUGCACAAUGGGCGGAAGCCUGAUGCAGCAACGCCGCGUGCGGGAUGACGGCCUUCGGGUUGUAAACCGCUUUCGCCUGUGACGAAGCGUGAGUGACGGUAAUGGGUAAAGAAGCACCGGCUAACUACGUG